rnacentral:rRNA from 1 species
CCGUAGGUGAACCUGCGGAGGGAUCAUUAAUGAGUUAUUAAAACUCCAAACCCUUUGUGAACCUUACCGUCGUUGCCUCGGCGUGAGCUACGGCUACCCUGUAGCUACCCUGUAGUACCCUAUAGCUACCCUGUAGUACCCUACAGCUACCCUAUAGGUACCUUGAAGCUACCCUGUAGACGGCUUAUGGCCCGCCGAAGGACCGCUAAACUCUUGUUUUUAUUGCUGUUAUUCUGAAUUAUAAACUAAAAUAAGUUAAAACUUUCAACAACGGAUCUCUUGGUUCUGGCAUCGAUGAAGAACGCAGCGAAAUGCGAUAAGUAAUGUGAAUUGCAGAAUUCAGUGAAUCAUCGAAUCUUUGAACGCACAUUGCGCCCAUUAGUAUUCUAGUGGGCAUGCCUAUUCGAGCGUCAUUUCGACCCCUAAGCCCCUGUUGCUUAGCGUUGGGAAUCUACGGCGUAGUUCCUUAAAGUUAGUGGCGGAGUUAGGGUACACUCUCAGCGUAGUAAUAUCUCUCGCUCGUGUGGUGGCCCUGGCUGCUGGCCGUUAAAACCCCUAUAUCUUUUAGUGGUUGACCUCGAAUUAGGUAAGAAUACCCGCUGAACUUAAGCAUAUCAAUAAGCGGAGGA